rnacentral:misc_RNA from 1 species
CCUGUUGAAGAUGGAAGAGUUGGCUGAGAUGCCACGGAUGUGUUUGACCCUUUUGAAAAAAAGUUGCCUGGGACAUCAGUUACAGGUUGAGCAGCAGAUCCAGUUGAAGCUUGAUAGCCAACUUGUGAAGCAACAGGGGCAGUAGAGCCUUGUGGGAAAAUGUUUUCAUUGUUAAACUGUGGAGUUGGUCCUAUUGCAUUUUGAUGAGCAACUUGUAAGCCUACUGGGGCAGCAGAACCCUGUUGUUGGAAAAGGUUUCCAUUGUUAAACUGUGGAGUUGGUCCCGUUGCAUGGUAAGCAGCU